ensembl:lncRNA
GCGCUCACUGUGUUGUUGUUUUUUUUAAACACAAGUCAAAUAACUUGGUUUCCUUUGUGCAGUUUUAACAUUAGAUAUUAAAUAAGAACUGGGUGAGAGAUAAACAGUAAAAGACAACAAAGAGAACUUUGGAUUCAAAUGCUUAAGAAGUUGUGAAAAUUCCACCUCCUACAUGGUUGCAUCAUGACAUUCAGUUUAGUGGCCACUUCCUGUGAACUUCAUAAGACGAAAAUAUUCGAUUGCCGUGUCCCUUUCCCAAGACUUUCCCUUGUUGGAAAACUUACUGACUGUUACAAAGGGCUGACACUGGAGACUCCUUCCAAAAAAAAAAAA